CUCAUUGACUCAUUGAAUCUACUACUUCUAAUAAAGCAAAAUAAUUUUUUGCCACUUGUCAUUAGCUUAACCCAUCAGUUGACAUGUGGCUUUCUAUUGUUUCCCCAAUUUUUCAAUUGUCCGCCAAAACCAUUGUCUACAUACGCUUCUCUUCUUUUCCUCUGUUCUUUCUUAACCUAAUUAAUAUCACAACCGUUUCAAAAUCAUCUCUUCAACUCCUCUCCAAUCUUCUUCCAAGAAUACCAAACCUCUGAAUGUUACGCAAUCAUCUACAAUCAUUUUCAUUCUAAAUUUGUUAUUUCAAACCAACGGUGGUGAUAGGAUUUCCUUAGUUGUCAGCGGCGGGGAUGCUUCUAAGGUAGUGGUUGUAUUUAUCGGUGGUUUUCAAAUGGCCAGAUUUGUCUCCCAAUGGCUAGGUUUCUUCCAUCAAUCACUUAUUCUACUUUUAAAAAUCUGCUCCAGAUUUUUGAUCCCUUUCGUUCACACUUCGUCACGUCUAAUUCGAAUUUAGGGUUUUCAGAUAUUUUGUUUGGAAUAGGCUUUCUAUUCAGAACACAUGCUUGGGGUUUACAAGGUGUGAAUGCAUAUUGGGGAUCUUAGCUUUUCUGUUAGUUCAAUAAGGUCAAAAGCACAGGGAAUUGAAGGAAUCACUACAAUGGGGUUUGGCUGCGGUUAUGUAUUCAGGUAUUACAUACUGAUUGAAAGAGACACGUGGAGUUCAUGGUUGGUGCCAUGGCAAGAGGGAUCACGAGUGCAGCCUUCGAUUCUAUCUUCAUCGCUACAUCAUCUUCAUCAUUGCGUCUUCUUUUUUCAUUUGAACAGGGUUGUGAAUGAGAUCAACAACACGAGGAACAAAGAAUGGCUCUAAGGUUGCACACCAAGUGUUCGAGAUAUUUCCCGAAUAAGUAGAGUUCAAUUGAUGUUAUGUGCAUUUGUCCAUUGACCCAUGUUGAAGGAUGCCAUAUGUUUCCGACUAUACGAAGAUUGCCUCCUGGUUAUCAUCAGGACCUGGGAAGCAAUUGUUAUUGAAGAUGGUGAUGACACUCAUGAUUUGGAUUGGUUGGAGUCGCUUCUUAAGGUGCAAACAUGGAGAAACGAUGCGAGAUUUUGAUUAUAAAGGAGUUGGGGUACAAUAAUUAAGUUAUAUUUGGUAACAUGAUCUUAUGGUUUUUUCAUUUUAGAGGAAAUUUGGUUGUUGUUACAUUUUGCGUAAAAAUUGGAAUUGUGGUAUUUGUUGAAACCAUGGUGAUCACUUACAAAUUACAAUGUCGUCUAUAAAGAUAGAAGCUUUUCACAAGGAUGCUUCUUUUCGGCUAUGGAUCAAAGUUUACUAAUAAAAAAAAAAAGCAAAUGGAUUGUUGAAGUAUUCAAAUGACAAUGACAAAUUAUGUUUAAAGAAUGGAUGGAAUGAUGACUAAUGAGAAUUGAUUAGUGGAAAGAUCUACAUAUUUAACUGAACGUGAACUUGGACCACAAACCAAACUUGGAUUAUGGAUUUGAGGCAAGGAAAACAAGUAAGAAAAGAUCACAAGUCACAACUUUAAUGAAGAAGUCGGCAAUUUAGUUUAAAGAUUGAAUUUAACUGCAGUUUUGGGGUAUGGUCUUAUCUCCCCUGCCUCAUUUAAGGUUUGCUUUUUUACUUCAACUGUUGAAGUGUGGUUUUCAAUAUCAUGAUUAUAGUUUGCAAGUUUUUUUAUCACUAUUAUUUUGCACCUUUAGAUUAUCGGUUUAUGAUUAGAGUUUGGUGUGGUUGUGCAAGUCGGAGUUGCAUAGCUGUUGUUUUGUUCAAGGAUUUAUGCAGAGUAGCAGCAUCGGUUACUUAUGGGUUAGUGUUUUAAUAAAUAAGCUUAUUUACUCUUUUGGGGAUAUUGUUUGAAAUUUUGUUCUUACAACUGUUAUUCUUCAAAACGUUUUGUGGAAAAAAAUAUGUGGGUUUUAAAGUUUGGGGUUUUAUGGAUACAGGGGCUUUGUUAAGCAUUUAUGCAUUUGUCUAUGUAUACUAACUCUUUGAUGUUAGACAAGUCCAAUAUGACUUAGGUCAAAAACGAUUAAACUCAAAAUAGGUUUUGGUCAUAAUGGACCGAUUUUAAACAAUCCCAAUUUGGUUCGGGUCAGUCAAAACGGGUUCUAAAAACCAAAUCAUGUCAAUAUGUAUUCUGCUCAAUA